GGUCCAACCCCGGUCAUUCCACCCACCACGGCCUGGGAUCUCACCCCCGACCCAGGUGGCGUGGGAAACACCCACGCGCGAGGCGAGCGGACGGAGGCAGCAGCGCACGGCGGACGGAGGCGGCGCUGCGAACCCGCGAGGGGGCACAGCAGCGACGGCGACGCCUCGGUCUUCCCAGCGUCCAUCUCCUUCGUCUGCCUUCUCUCCGGUUAGAGCAGCACUUUCCAUGGUGCACAUCUGAAGGUCUAGUCUUCUUUGUUGGUUGCAGUCAUUCCUACACGAAGCUGAAGGUGAAAUCCAUCGCUAGGACCUUCUUGAAAUUAAGGGAAUGUUGUGUGUUGAACUGUACUGUUCAAACCUGUUAUUUUUAUUAUCCAUAAUGACCUUGUCAGAUUCAUGCUAGAUGUUGUGGUUUUGUUGUGGCAGAAUCGAGCCUAGUAUCAUGGGUAACCCUGGUCAUGUGUGUCUUGUGUCAAGGUGUUUGGUCAAUUUACUUUCAAUAACUGACACAAUUUCUGUAGUGUCACUUGAUCUGU